rnacentral:rRNA from 1 species
UAGGGAAUCUUCGGCAAUGGGGGCAACCCUGACCGAGCAACGCCGCGUGAGUGAAGAAGGUUUUCGGAUCGUAAAGCUCUGUUGUAAGAGAAGAACGUGUGUGAGAGUGGAAAGUUCACACAGUGACGGUAACUUACCAGAAAGGGACGGCUAACUACGUGCCAGCAGCCGCGGUAAUACGUAGGUCCCGAGCGUUGUCCGGAUUGAUUGGGCGUAAAGCGAGCGCAGGCGGUUUAAUAAGUCUGGAGUUAAAGACAGUGGCUUAACCAUUGUUCGCUUUGGAAACUGUUAAACUUGAGUGCAGAAGGGGAGAGUGGAAUUCAAUGUGUAGCGGUGAAAUGCGUAGCUAUAUGGAGGAACACAGGUGGCGAAAGCGGCUCUCUGGUCUGUAACUGACGCUGAGGCUCGAAAGCGUGGGGAGCAAACAGA